GUGCUCGAGUGGCGAACGGGUGAGUAACACGUGAGUAACCUGCCCUUGACUUUGGGAUAACUUCAGGAAACUGGGGCUAAUACCGGAUAGGAGCUCCUGCUGCAUGGUGGGGGUUGGAAAGUUUCGGCGGUUGGGGAUGGACUCGCGGCUUAUCAGCUUGUUGGUGGGGUAGUGGCUUACCAAGGCUUUGACGGGUAGCCGGCCUGAGAGGGUGACCGGCCACAUUGGGACUGAGACACGGUCCAG
rnacentral:rRNA from 1 species